GAUGAACGCUGACAGAAUGCUUAACACAUGCAAGUCUUUGGCGAAGCUGUGCUUGCACAGCCUAGCCAAGGCGGACGGGUGAGUAACGCGUAAGGAACUUGCCCUGCAGUCAGGGAUAACAGACGGAAACGACUGAUAAGACCUGGUAAAGUCAGGCGGACUCAUGUCCAGCCUGAUGAAAAGAGAUGCUGCAGGAGAGCCUUGCGUCCUAUUAGCUUGUUGGUGGGGUAACGGCCCACCAAGGCGAUGAUAGGUAGCCGGCCUGAGAGGGUGGACGGCCACAAGGGGACUGAGAUACGGCCCUUACUCCUCCGGGAGGCAGCAGUGGGGAAUAUUGGACAAUGGGGGCAACCCUGAUCCAGCAAUUCUGUGUGCACGAUGAAGGUUUUCGGAUUGUAAAGUGCUUUCAGCAGGGAAGAAAAAAAUGACGGUACCUGCAGAAGAAGCGACGGCUAAAUACGU
rnacentral:rRNA from 1 species